rnacentral:rRNA from 1 species
CCUAGUAACGGCGAGUGAAGCGGCAACAGCUCAAAUUUGAAAUCUGGCCUCGGCCCGAGUUGUAAUUUGCAGAGGAUGCUUCUGGCGCGGUGCCUUCCGAGUUCCCUGGAACGGGACGCCACAGAGGGUGAGAGCCCCGUAUGGUCGGACACCAAGCCUGUGUGAAGCUCCUUCGACGAGUCGAGUAGUUUGGGAAUGCUGCUCUAAAUGGGAGGUAAAUCUCUUCUAAAGCUAAAUACCGGCCAGAGACCGAUAGCGCACAAGUAGAGUGAUCGAAAGAUGAAAAGCACCUUGAAAAGGGGGUUAAAUAGUACGUGAAAUUGUUGAAAGGGAAGCACUUAUGACCAGACUUGGGCCGGGCGGCUCAUCAGGGGUUCUCCCCUGUGCACUCCGCCCGGCACAGGCCAGCAUCGGUUCUCGUGGGGGGACAAGACCGUCAGGAACGUAGCACCCUCCGGGGUGUGUUAUAGCCUGGCGGACGAUACCCCCGUGGGGACCGAGGUCCGCGCUCCGCAAGGAUGCUGGCGUAAUGGUCAUCAGUGACCCGUCUUGAAACACGGACCAAGGAGUCGUCCAUUAGAGCGAGCGUUUGGGUGUAAAACCCGCACGCGUAAUGAAAGUGAACGCAGGUGAGAGCUUCGGCGCAUCAUCGACCGAUCCUGAUGUUCUCGGAAGGAUUUGAGUAAGAGUUUUAACGGACGGACCCGAAAGACAGUGAACUAUGCUUGUAUAGGGUGAAGCCAGAGGAAACUCUGGUGGAGGCUCGCAGCGGUUCUGACGUGCAAAUCGAUCGUCAAAUAUGAGCAUGGGGGCGAAAGACUAAUCGAACU